UACGUAGGGUGCGAGCGUUAAUCGGAAUUACUGGGCGUAAAGCGUGUGCAGGCGGUUCUCCAAGUCCGCUGUGAAAGCCCCGGGCUCAACCUGGGAAUGGCAGUGGAAACUAGGGGACUGGAAUCUGGCAGAGGGGAGUGGAAUGCCGCGUGUAGCAGUGAAAUGCGUAGAGAUGCGGCGGAACACCGAUGGCGAAGGCAGCCCCCUGGGCUGAGAUUGACGCUCAGGCACGAAAGCGUGGGGAGCAAACAGG
rnacentral:rRNA from 1 species